CAGUGCGGCCCGGGCUGCGGCCCCGGGUCCGAGGAGGCCCGGGGAGACCCGGAGGAGGUCAGAAGGCCUUCAGGGUCCCCGGGAUGGGGUGAGGCUGAGCUCGGCCCCUUACUGCCGGCGCCUGCCAGGAAGGGAAGCCCCGCCCCAAUGCCUGCGCGCCCCCAUCAGGACCACUAGCCUCGUCGCCCCGCUGUGUGACUCCCGGGGGUCCCUGGCCCUCUCUGGGCCGAGCUGUAGUCAGGCUCACGGGCAGCCGCUCAGAGAGGUCGCCUGGGUCCCAUCCCUUCCCCAAAUGGCCCCCCGCCUCAGUUUCCCCGGCCAGGUGCAGGCUCUCUUUAACCCCAGGUUGGGGGGUCCUCGCUGCUAGGUUGCACCCCGGGUCUCCGCUCAGGCCAGGGAAUCCCCUGGGGGCUCCGAACGGGCAGCUCCGAUUGGCUGGGGCCACGUGUGACGUCAGAGCCUCCCCAACGCCCCCUCCCCUAGAGGUGGAAACUGAGACCCAGAGAGCCGUGACUUGACUGAUCCCACAGCCAGGAAAUGGUGGAGCCUGGAUUUGAACCCCAGCUUUUAAGAAGAAGGUGCCACUGUCCUGGAAGAACUCUCAGGACAGCAUUAGUGUCUCAGGGAUCCCCCUAAUCGGAGGGGCCUUAAGGCAACCUAAUCAUGAUUGUCACUGAAGAUCCAGGAGGGCUUCCUGGAGGAGGAGGCAGCUCCAUUCUGAAAUGCCAAGGGUACAGCUUUAUUGGGACAGCCAGUGUCUCUGAAUAUGUAGGUUUUGCACAGAGCUUGUACUGCCCCAGGGCCUGUACACUGCCUGUCCCCUCUGCCUUGUGCACUCUUUCCCUAGAUGUCCAAAUGGCUCCUUUCCUCACCUACCCCAAAUCUCAAUUCCAGUGUUUCCCCAGCCUCCCCUCAUUUCAGUAAUCACUCUGCAGUGAGCUAGGAUUGCGCCACUGCACUCCAGCUUGGAUAAGAGAACAAGACCCUGUCUCUUAACUAAAUACAUAAAUAAAAAUAAUUCCCCUCUUCAUCCCUCUUUACCCUGUUUUGAUGGUUUUGUUCAACUUUUCACCAAUAGGACUUUCUCUUAUGCAUUUACUCGUUUCUCUUCCAAUCCCUCCC
rnacentral:lncRNA from 10 species